AAAAAGGCAAACCCUAGGUUUCCGUGUCCAACUUUGAUUGUCCGUCUUAUAUGAUUUUUUUAUAAUUCGUAUUUUCAUUGUUGUUAGAUGAUAAAACAUGAUUAAUAUUUUAUGCGUAACUUAUCUUUUUAAUUUUUUUUAUAUUUUUUUCAAAUAAGAUGAAUGAUCAAACGUUGGGCACGAAAAUCAAGGUUUAUCUUUUU
rnacentral:pre_miRNA from 1 species